UAGCUUUUAAUAAAUUUGUUUUGGUGGUACAAUAAGUAUGCUAGGUGACUAGCUAUAGUAAUAAACGUUCCUUGAAAUAGGCGUUACGGACCCGGGGGCAGCGCCCGGCGCCUCCACCAUAAAAAACUAUGGGGGCGAAUUAGGAUCGACGUGCGUAAUAAAGAAGUGGUCUUUUACUCGGGAUGAUUCCACCGAUUGUUAUUUAUAACAAUUAUGGGUCGAAACUUAUAAAUGCCAAUGAUAAUACAAGGCAACCGGCUAACCAAAACUUCGCUUUCAGCUCUAUAGCUGCGGCAUAAACUGGUUAAUUGGGAGCGGCUUUGGGGUGUUGCCGAGCAACAGAAAACACCCUACU
rnacentral:tmRNA from 1 species